rnacentral:rRNA from 1 species
UACGUAGGGGGCGAGCGUUGUCCGGAUUUAUUGGGCGUAAAGAGCGUGUAGGCGGCCAGGUAGGUCUGCUGUGAAAACUCGAGGCUCAACCUCGAGACGUCGGCGGAAACCAUCUGGCUAGAGUCCGGAAGAGGAGAGUGGAAUUCCGCGUGUAGCAGUGAAAUGCGCAGAUAUCAGGAAGAACACCCGUGGCGAAGGCGGCUCUCUGGGACGGUACUGACGCUGAGACGCGAAAGCGUGGGGAGCAAACAGG